UGCGCAGGCGGCCUGAUAAGUCAGAUGUGAAAUCCCCGAGCUCAACUUGGGAACUGCGUUUGAAACUAUGUAGCUAGAGUUCUGUAGAGGGGGGUAGAAUUCCAGGUGUAGCGGUGAAAUGCGUAGAGAUCUGGAGGAAUACCGAUUGCGAAGGCAGCCCCCUGGACAGUGACUGACGCUCAUAUGCGAAAGCGUGGGGAUCAAACAGGAUUAGAUACCCUUGUA
rnacentral:rRNA from 1 species